GGUUAAAUAGACAAGGGUCAUUAGUGAUAUCGGCUUUCCUUAAUCAACACAGGACCACGUAUGCCUGUGUUCACAUGUGUGUCAAUUCUGGCCUAUCGUAAAAGAAAACCCACUAUCGGUCACGUUUUCACACCAUCUGCAUGCAGAAUAUUUGAGACUAUUUUACCUACGAUAUCUUUAUCUAAAUUGUAUUGUUUUAUUAGGAUAAACCAUGUAACUGAUAAUUGUAAUCUAGAAUAGACCUAUGUAAACACCCUUUUUGACCCAAGAAUGAUGUAUAUAAACCCCAAGUUAUGCUCAAUAAAAUCAGUACGAAAAGAUCUCUUGACAUAUUCACUUCUCCGCAGCCCAAUUGGUAUUGUACUUAUUGCGGCGACUAUUGCCACUGCAUCAACAGCAAAAAUCACGGUAGUGAUUAACUGGUCUACUAGGCGACCGACCAUAAUAUAGAAGUUCUCUUCGCGAACGUUUUUUUUUUCACUGCUAUCAACUUGGCGAUAGACAGCGACCAAGUAAUUUCUGCGAUUUGUGUACGAUUAACUUGGCAAUCAAAACACACA